AGGGUGCUUACACUAGAUGGCGUUAUCGAAGAUUGACGGGCGGUCAAGAUUGCAAGGAUUGACACUGUCUUUGCUUGGCGGAGGCGCAUGGCGGAUGGGGCUUAGCGGAGGUGCUAGCGCUUGGUCCUGCUGCUAAUCGAUUGGUGGAGCAGUGGUCGAUGACGGAAUUGUGAUAAUGACAGAUGACGACCUCGUUAAGUGCGAUAAGAAUUGAAGAUGACGAUGAUCAAGGAGUUGGCUACUCGACUUUGUGGAGCAUGACACUGACUGGAGGGCGAAAGUUGUCUUCGACGGGCCAACAAGAGAGAAGUUUGACGCCAACAAGAGACUCAAGAGUAGUUUGAUCAUUUGCUGCCAGCAAGAUACUCAUGGGUGUCCAGAGUAUAUAUGGCGGUGGUCCUUGUGUUGGCGG
rnacentral:lncRNA from 1 species